UACAGAGGUCCCAAGCGUUGUUCGGAUUCACUGGGCGUAAAGGGUGCGUAGGUGGUUGGGUAAGUCUGAUGUGAAAUCUCCGGGCUCAACCCGGAAAUGGCAUUGGAUACUAUCCAGCUGGAGGGUCGGAGGGGGACUGGAAUUCUUGGGUGUAGCAGUGAAAUGCGUAGAUAUCAAGAGGAACACCAGUGGCGAAGGCGAGUCCCUGGACGACUCCUGACACUGAGGCACGAAAGCUAGGGGAGCAAACAGG
rnacentral:rRNA from 1 species